rnacentral:rRNA from 1 species
UGGGGAAUAUUGGACAAUGGGGGGAACCCUGAUCCAGCGACGCCGCGUGAGUGAAGAAGUAUUUCGGUAUGUAAAGCUCUAUCAGCAGGGAAGAAAGAAAUGACAGUACCUGACUAAGAAGCACCGGCUAAAUACGUGCCAGCAGCCGCGGUAAUACGUAUGGUGCAAGCGUUAUCCGGAUUUACUGGGUGUAAAGGGAGCGUAGGCGGUCUGCCAAGUCUGAUGUGAAAACCCGGGGCUCAACCCCGGGAGUGCAUUGGAAACUGGCGGACUGGAGUGUCGGAGAGGUAAGCGGAAUUCCUAGUGUAGCGGUGAAAUGCGUAGAUAUUAGGAGGAACACCAGUGGCGAAGGCGGCUUACUGGGCGAUAACUGACGCUGAGGCUCGAAAGCGUGGGGAGCAAAC